rnacentral:rRNA from 1 species
GACGAACGCUGGCGGCGUGCUUAACACAUGCAAGUCGAGCGGUAAGGCCCUUUCGGGGGUACACGAGCGGCGAACGGGUGAGUAACACGUGGGUGACCUGCCCUUAGCUCUGGGAUAAGCCUGGGAAACUGGGUCUAAUACCGGAUAUGACUCCAUGACGCAUGUUGUGGGGUGGAAAGCCUUGUGCGGCUAGGGAUGGGCCCGCGGCCUAUCAGCUUGUUGGUGGGGUGAUGGCCUACCAAGGCGACGACGGGUAGCCGGCCUGAGAGGGCGACCGGCCACACUGGGACUGAGACACGGCCCAGACUCCUACGGGAGGCAGCAGUGGGGAAUCUUGCGCAAUGGGGCGAAAGCCUGACGCAGCGACGCCGCGUGAGGGAUGACGGCCUCGGUU